UACGUAGGGGGCAAGCGUUGUCCGGAUUUAUUGGGCGUAAAGAGCGUGUAGGCGGUUAGGUAGGUCCGUUGUGAAAACUCGAGGCUCAACCUCGAGACGCCGAUGGAAACCAUCUAACUAGAGUCCGGAAGAGGAGAAUGGAAUUCCUGGUGUAGCGGUGAAAUGCGCAGAUAUCAGGAAGAACACCCGUGGCUAAGGCGGUUCUCUAGUACGGUACUGACGCUGGAGACGCGAAAAGCGUGGGGAGCGAACAGG
rnacentral:rRNA from 1 species